GAUGAACGCUAGCGGGAGGCUUAACACAUGCAAGUCGAGGGGUAAAUGGUAGCAAUACUAUGAGACCGGCGGACGGGUGCGUAACGCGUAUGCAACAUACCUUGUGCAGGGGGAUAGCCCGUGGAAACGCGGAUUAAUAUUCCAUAGUCCAGCUAUAUCGCAUGGUAUAGUUGGUAAAGAUUUAUCGGCACAAGUUUGGCAUGCGUCUGAUUAGCUUGUUGGUGGGGUAACGGCCUACCAAGGCUACGAUCAGUAGGGGUUCUGAGAGGAUUAACCCCCACACUGGUACUGAGACACGGACCAGACUCCUACGGGAGGCAGCAGUGAGGAAUAUUGGUCAAUGGGCGGAAGCCUGAACCAGCCAUCCCGCGUGAAGGAAGACAGCCUUACGGGUUGUAAACUUCUUUUCUGUCAGAAGAAUAAGCUUGUCGAGACGAGUGAUGCCGGUAUGACAGGAAUAAGCAUCGGCUAACUCCGUGCCAGCAGCCGCGGUAA
rnacentral:rRNA from 1 species